rnacentral:rRNA from 1 species
GACGAACGCUGGCGGCGUGCUUAACACAUGCAAGUCGAGCGGUAAGGCCCUUCGGGGUACACGAGCGGCGAACGGGUGAGUAACACGUGGGUAACCUGCCCCGUACUCUGGGAUAAGCCUGGGAAACUAGGUCUAAUACCGGAUAUGACUUCCACGGGCAUCCGUGGUGGUGGAAAGUUCCGGCGGUACGGGAUGGACCCGCGGCCUAUCAGCUUGUUGGUGGGGUAAUGGCCUACCAAGGCGACGACGGGUAGCCGGCCUGAGAGGGUGACCGGCCACACUGGGACUGAGACACGGCCCAGACUCCUACGGGAGGCAGCAGUGGGGAAUAUUGCACAAUGGGCGAAAGCCUGAUGCAGCGACGCCGCGUGAGGGAUGACGGCCUUCGGGUUGUAAACCUCUUUCAGCAGGGACGAAGCGCGAGUGACGGUACCUGCAGAAGAAGCACCGGCUAACUACGUGCCAGCCGCCGCGGUAAU